AGUAGAGAUUCGAUCGGUGUAGCCCAUCCGUUAUAGAAAUUCAUUUGGAAUCCAUCCGCUGUAGAAGUUCGGAUGGAGUCCGAUUCUUGUAGGAGCUCGGGUGAAAUCUGAAAGGCGGUCGACUACCGUAGAAAUUUGGAUGGAGUCUGGUUACUGCAAAAGUCCUGCUGUUGGAGAAACUCGGACGUUGACGAAGUUCGAAAGAAGUUCGGAGUAAAGUCAUUCAUGGCCGGA
rnacentral:lncRNA from 1 species